CCCCUUGAGGUUAUGAGUGCCCAUAGGGAAGAUGUUGCCACUGUCCGCAGUUGGGAGAAGAAGAACCUGGCACAUGAGGAAGCCAAGUAAUUGGAUCAGCCCCCUCCAUCAUGGCAUUUCCCACACUUCUGAUUGGACUGGAAACUCCCUGAAAGGAGGAAGCAAGUCAGAUUCACCUCCAGGUCCCUCCCAGGCCUGGAGAAGCUGGCAUGCUGUUGGCACUCACUGACUGCCUGGUGGCCGACUGGCUGGAUGGAAUGGUGACCUGUGACCAGUCUGUCUCUCUCCUCAGCUGACCUGAGAGUUCCUGGAGGCCAGGGACUGUGUUUGCCUCACCUCGGCACCUCUGUGCCUGGGGCGAACUGCUCAACAAGUUCUGGUUGAACGAAUGGAGGGAACACUAAGAGCGAAUAAUUAUUGAGCGCUUACUGUGUGCGAGCAGCUGCUGUAAGCAAUGGACACUUUUUAUCUCAGUGAACCCUGCAGAGGGUUCCAAUGAGGGAAUGGAGCAGACCUGAUCUAACCAAGCUGGGGGUAGGGAGGUGCCUGGUGGCAGGUACCAGCAGACAUGACAGGGACUCCCGCACAUGGCACCACAGCAAUGCUGUCAAGGUUGCCCGUGGAAUCUGAAAGCUGAAACACUCGUCUUUACAUACAGAGUUGGCCAAAGCGAGACACCAGCAAAUCAGUUCACCCAAAAAUGUGCAAACAAGAUUUCCCAUGCCUGUCUGCAGUUUUUCUCUCCCCUCUCUCUUAUAUAACUCUUGUUGAAAUCAGUCUAUAGAUACAUGUUCCUUGUACAGAAAUAAACAGAGAGCUAAUAAUUA
rnacentral:antisense_RNA from 1 species